UAGUGUCAGUGUUCAGCUCCCUGAAUGAGCUCACUAUAAAGCUUCAUGGGAAGUUAAGAAGAUGAGGUGGCAAUGUUCAGCCAGCAUCCAGGAAUGAAGAGCAGAACUGGGUUCAACCGUCACCCAACUGCAGAUAUUCAGAAAUUCCACAGCCAAACUCUCAAGAAUAGUCUUGAUGGGUUAAGAUAGAUAUUUGUGCUCCGAAAAGUAGAAUGGUAAUUAAUUGAGGAUGAUGCCCAGUCCAAUAUGGAAUCACUAAUGAUGAAGGAGCUCAAGAUGCAGAAGUAUUUGAAUAUUUAAGAUUGUCUCCUUGGUCAAGAAAAUUGAAAGAAAGAAUAUACAAAGUCCAUUUUAAAUUGAUUUGCAUGUAGUUGACAUAAAUAGUGCAAUAGUUAUUUUAUAUCCUUAGUGAGAGAGUACUUGUAUAACAAUAUGAAGUAAAAAAAAAAAAUUAACCAAGGAUGCCAGGGAAGCACUGAAAAUAAUGGGUCAGAGCUGCAUAUGCAUCUGGAGAGAGUGAGAAAGAGAAUUUCAUGGGAAAACCUUUUGGAUAAAGAAAAAUUAUGAAUGAUGAAAUGAUGAAAGAACUCAGUUCAGUAGGAUAUAGGAGAGCACACAUUUAUGCAUUCAAGCGAGGAGGGCAUUGUCUAUGACCUUCAUUACAGGUUGGAUCAGGGCUGCAAAGACCUGUAUGAACUGGGGAGUGGUGGAAGUUAGACUCUAAAUAGAUUUACUGUAUUACUGUUCAGAAAUGAAAUAUGAGCUGCACUUCAUAGGCAAAUGUCUAAACAUUUCCAUUUCCCCAGGAGCAUAUUGCAAUUGUAUUUUCUUCAUAAAGGAAGUUUUUGAAGUAAAAAAUGAUUACAUUUGCAAAAUAAUAAGGAAGAUAAAACCAUUUCAAAUUGAGAAAGUAUAUUUGCUACAAAAAAUCCUGUAGAAAUAGGGCCUUCAUGUUCUAGCACUUUUGCAUGCAUAGAAAUUCUAUCAGAAGUACAUUAUAUCAUUAUUUCAGGCACUUGAUUAAUUUUCAUUUGAAGUAGUUAUUUGGGAAUGAUAGCAAGCCAGCUGGGCUAUUGAAAACUCUAGUUGGAUUCACAAGCAUAAGCAUUGCAUAAGCAAUAGGCUGUAGUGGGUACCUAGAUGUGAAUGGCCCAUCUGAAGCAUUUAAGAGUAUAAAAUAAUAUGUUAAUGCUUCUUGGUUCACGCAGGAACAUUGUAUAUUAUUGAGCUUUUGAGGAAAAGGAUAUUCAGGGUAAAGGAAAGUAUUCCAGGAAGUAAGAGAACUUUGUGAAGAAAUGGAAUUGAAGAUAAUGAAUGAUUCAACACAUUCAUUCAGGACCAUGUGUCUACAGCUUUGGCUUAUGUGUGCAUGCUUGGAAAUACUGAAAGAGGAGUUGCCAAGAAUACAUGAGAAUGCUAGCCCCCCAUCUUCUAUUGGCUUCAUCCUUAGGUCCUUUAACAAAAGAUUAAUCUCCAAAGUAACUGUUCGGUAGGUCUGGGGAUUUGUUCAGGUGAAAAAAAAUGUAGAACUUUGAAAAUAUGUUGUUCAACCACACAAAAACAAACUUCUGCAAACAUGUGUCC
rnacentral:lncRNA from 7 species